UUAUUAAAUCGGACUAUAACAAUUACUUUAAAAAGUCCAGACUGGAUCAAAACUUUGGAAGAAGAGAUGAGUUUAGAGAAAAUCAGUGUCACAUUGCCCUCAUCAACCAGUUCCACCCUGCUCGGUGAAGAUGCAGAGGUCUCAGCGGACUUUGACAUGGAAGGGAGUUCUUCACGUCUUUCUUGAAGUCCUCCAGCAUCAUGAUCAAAUGUGAUUUUAAAUCUAGAUCUUGCUUUUCUGGUGAUGUCGACGACUACAGUGCUGAGGUGGAGGAGCUUCUUCCUCAGCACCUCCAGCCAUCCUCCAGCUCUGGCCUCGGCACCUCUCCAAGCUCUUCGCCCCGGACCAGUCCCUGCCAGUCACCCACAGCACCAGAGUACUCCGCACCUUCUCUUCCCAUCAGACCUAGUCGAGCACCAUCAAGAACUCCAGGACCUCUAAGUUCACAGGGUGCUCCAGUUGACACCCAGCCAGCAGCCCAGAAGGAGUCUUCCCAGACCAUAGAGCCCAAGAGGCCACCCCCUCCCCGCCCAGUUGCUCCUCCAGCACGUCCUGCCCCACCACAGAGGCCACCUCCACCUUCAGCACCCAAAAGCCCGGGAACAGCACGGAAAGAUAAUAUAGGGCGUAAUCAGCCUUCCCCUCAAGCCGGACUUGCAGGCCCAGGACCUUCUGGAUAUGGUGCAGCUAGACCGACAAUUCCAGCUCGUGCUGGAGUGAUCAGUGCCCCUCAGAGC
rnacentral:lncRNA from 1 species